CGAGAAUUACGCGUGAAAAUACGCGAAGAGAGAAUUAUCAAUGUUUAUCAAAUUUGGAAUGCGAAAUCAAACAAUAUAAAUCGAAGGAUAUAAUAUUAAUCGUAUGAAAAAGUAUUGGAACGUUGGGUAUAUACUUACAAAAUGGCAUGUUAUUUAUGAAUGACUUUUUAUCGAUCUACAGUAUGAGUAUAUUCAUUAUAACCAUGAAAGAAUUGGCUGAAUGAAAUCAUCGCACACGUUGUCGUUGUUUUGUUAAAUUGACAUAUUGUUGCGAGGACUUUGGAGUGACAGCUUUUGCUUGUGUUAAAAACUUGAAGCUUUAAACAAUACAGUACAUUAUGGUCAACACUCAACAUGUUGUAGUCUGUGGUCUUUGCGCUUUUGUAAAUGGAGUUAUCUAUAUAAAUUUAAGAUGCCAGGUGUUUUUGUAGCAUCUGUAUAAAUUAUAGAAUAAUUGAUUUAAGAAGUUUCUCAGGUUGUAAAACAUUUGGUUAUAGACUUGCUUUGUAAAUGAUUGCCACUUGACAGCAUGAUGGGCUAUUCCAUUUAAUAUCGGUACACCCCCUGUCGAGGAUACAUGUUUUUCAUGGUUAUACCCCAGAAGAAUUCCAAACUCAAAACCUUCUACCCCUGAAGAAUUCCAAGCUCAAAACCCUUUACUCCUGAAGAAUUCCUAGCUCAAAACCUUUUACCCCGGAUGAAUUCCAAACUCGAAACACUUUACCCCCGAAGAAUUCCAAGUUCAAAACACUUUACCGCUGAAGAAUUCCAAGCUCAAAACCCUUUACCCCUGAAGAAUUCCAGGGAUCCCUGACAGGGGGUGUGGAUAUUAAAUGGAAUAGCCCGAUGUAAGGCUAUAACUAAGCCAAACCUGAAACAAUUUUUGCAUCAAUUUGUGUCUGGAUAAAAAAUAAGUAGUGAAUUUAAAUACAGAUGUUUCCUUGUCUGUUGCUAUGUGAAACAAUGUUGUUUAUAGCAAUAAGAGUUAUUGUUGAUCAAUAACAAUGCUCAUUUGCUAAAAAUAUAGAAGUAUUGAUUCCAUUUCCAAACUAUUAUACUAUGUGAAUAUAUUGGCAAUUAAUCCAAUUAUAUAUAAAUAACUACUUUAAUUUCUGUAUCAAGCCUCCUGGGUAUUAUUGUUUCCUAAGCAUCAUUGAGGGGGCACUUGUUCUAAAUAUAUGCAAUAAGUCUGGUUACCAUUAAUUAAAAAAUGUCCAUACUCAGAGUUACAGUUGUACUAUGUUUUAUUAAAAU